UACGAAGGGGGCUAGCGUUGUUCGGAUUUACUGGGCGUAAAGCGCAUGUAGGCGGGUCGUUAAGUUGGGGGUGAAAUCCCGAGGCUCAACCUCGGAACUGCCUUCAAAACUGGCGACCUGGAGCAAGAUAGAGGCAAGUGGAAUUGCGAGUGUAGAGGUGAAAUUCGUAGAUAUUCGCAGGAACACCAGUGGCGAAGGCGACUUGCUGGAUCUUUGCUGACGCUGAGAUGAGAAAGCGUGGGGAGCAAACAGG
rnacentral:rRNA from 1 species